rnacentral:rRNA from 1 species
AACGAACGCUGGCGGCAUGCCUAACACAUGCAAGUCGAACGAGACCUUCGGGUCUAGUGGCGCACGGGUGCGUAACGCGUGGGAACCUGCCCUUAGGUUCGGAAUAACUCCCCGAAAGGGGUGCUAAUACCGGAUAAUGUCUUCGGACCAAAGAUUUAUCGCCUUUGGAUGGGCCCGCGUUGGAUUAGCUAGUUGGUAGGGUAAAAGCCUACCAAGGCGACGAUCCAUAGCUGGUCUGAGAGGAUGAUCAGCCACACUGGGACUGAGACACGGCCCAGACUCCUACGGGAGGCAGCAGUGGGGAAUAUUGGACAAUGGGCGAAAGCCUGAUCCAGCAAUGCCGCGUGAGUGAUGAGGGCCUUAGGGUUGUAAAGCUCUUUUACCCGGGAUGAUAAUGACAGUACCGGGAGAAUAAGCCCCGGCUAACUCCGUG